rnacentral:rRNA from 1 species
UUUGGCGGCCAUAGCGGCGGGGCAACUCCUGUACCCAUACCGAACACAGAAGAUAAGCCCGCCGGCGUUCCCUGUUGUACUGAAGUGUGCGAGCCUUCGGGAACCUUGGAUCGCUGCCAUGAGUCUUUCUUUAUCAUUCUUAUUUUG